rnacentral:rRNA from 1 species
UACGGGGGGGGUAAGCGUUGUUCGGAAUUACUGGGCGUAAAGGGCUCGUAGGCGGCCAACUAAGUCGGACGUGAAAUCCCUCAGCUUAACUGGGGAACUGCGUCCGAUACUGGAUGGCUUGGAUUUGGGAGAGGGAUGCGGAAUUCCAGGUGUAGCGGUGAAAUGCGUAGAUAUCUGGAGGAACACCGGUGGCGAAGGCGGCAUCCUGGACCAAUAUUGACACUCAAGUGCGAAAGCGUGGGGAGCAAACAGG